UACGGAGGGGGCUAGCGUUGUUCGGAAUCAUUGGGCGUAAAGCGCGCGUAGGUGGCCACAUAAGUCCGUUGUGAAAGUCAAAGGCUCAACCUUUGAAAGCCGAUGGAUACUGUGUGGCUAGAGUACGGAAGAGGCGAGUGGAAUUCCUGGUGUAGCGGUGGAAUGCGCAGAUAUCAGGAGGAACACCAAUAGCGAAGGCAGCUCGCUGGGACGUUACUGACACUGAGGCGCGAAAGCGUGGGGAGCGAACAGG
rnacentral:rRNA from 1 species